GUGGGGAAUUUUGGACAAUGGGCGCAAGCCUGAUCCAGCAAUGCCGCGUGCAGGAAGAAGGCCUUCGGGUUGUAAACUGCUUUUGUACGGAACGAAACGGUCCUGGCUAAUACCCGGGGCUAAUGACGGUACCGUAAGAAUAAGCACCGGCUAACUACGUGCCAGCAGCCGCGGUAAUACGUAGGGUGCGAGCGUUAAUCGGAAUUACUGGGCGUAAAGCGUGCGCAGGCGGUGCUGUAAGACAGGCGUGAAAUCCCCGGGCUCAACCUGGGAAUUGCGCUUGUGACUGCAGUGCUGGAGUACGGCAGAGGGGGAUGGAAUUCCGCGUGUAGCAGUGAAAUGCGUAGAUAUGCGGAGGAACACCGAUGGCGAAGGCAGUCCCCUGGGCCUGUACUGACGCUCAUGCACGAAAGCGUGGGGAGCAAACAGGAUUAGAUACCCCAGUAGUCC
rnacentral:rRNA from 1 species